rnacentral:rRNA from 1 species
AUUGAACGCUGGCGGCAGGCCUAACACAUGCAAGUCGAGCGAGCGGCGGACGGGUGAGCAAUGUCUGGGAAACUGCCUGAUGGAGGGGGAUAACUACUGUAAACGGUAGCUAAUACUGCAUACCAUCAGAUGUGCCCAGAGGGGAUUAGCUAGUAGGUGGGGUAAAGGCUCACCUAGGCGACGAUCCCUAGCUGGUCUGAGAGGAUGACCAGCCACACUGGAACUGAGACACGGUCCAGACUCCUACGGGAGGCAGCAGUGGGGAAUAUUGCACAAUGGGCGCAAGCCUGAUGCAGCCAUGCCGCGUGUGUGAAGAAGGCCUUCGGGUUGUAAAGCACUUUCAGCGGGGAGGCGUUACUCGCAGAAGAAGCACCGGCUAACUCCGUGCCAGCAGCCGCGGUAAUUC